ACAAAAUCAUGCCAGUCUAGACGCAGUCUACAUGUAUUAAUAUACUGUAUGCACUCAUAUUUGAAUCCUUCCAUUCAACAUUUACUGGGUGCACCACUGAUGAAGAAUUUGUUCCAGUCCUGUAAAAUUAAUAUUCCCUUCCUUUCCUUUUUCACCUUCCAAGGGGGAAUUCAGUCAGAAACAUAGUGCUACCUCCCCUUCCCUUCUCCCCACCCGCCUCACAAAACUUGAGGCAUGUUGUAUCUUGCAUAGAAGAUCCAGGGCUGAGGCGAGACUUCUACGGUCCCUGGGGGGAGCCAACUCCAGGCCCCCCAAAAGGGGCUGGGACCUUCAGCAUUUCUGGGGCCUAGGACUCGCACUGUGUGGGGCCUCAGCAGCAAUUUGAAGGGCCUGGGAGCUCUGUAGUGGUAGCAGCAGCCAGAAGCUCCUGGGGUAGCUAACCCUUUGCCUCUGCCCAAAUCAGUGGCCCUGAGGAGGUCUGUUACUCAGGGAUCAUUCUAAUAACAGUACUAACUAGCAUAUGUUACCAAGCCUGGCAACCCUCAGACAACUACUCAUUUCCAAACAUAUGAAAGGGUUACAUCUUAGACCAAUUUUACUGUUAUAGAUUUAGACUAAAUCUGCCUUGAUAGUGCUGUCCCAUUCUGGGCUGAUGACUAAAGCUAAGCUAUCCAUAUGCUUAAUUGCUUUCAUAAAUGGAGCACUAACAGUUUGUGGUAGAGAUGGUGUUACAGUUGCUAUUUAUGGAAUCAUUCCCUUAUUCCUCUUUUGUAAACUGAAAUAUUUCUCCCUAGUACUUACAGAUAUUCAGAUUGAGAAUGGUAUUUUUCCGUUAAACAUACUUGGCCUGCAAACAGCAACAGAAGGGAAAUGGAAGGCAAAGUAGAAGUAAUGAAAAGAAAUAAAGAAAAGCAGCACAAAUGAUGUGAGGCCAUUUGGAAUUUACCCAGCUCAAAGUAUUCCACCUUGUCAAUUCAACUGAGAAUUGUCAAAUAGAUAUUAUGAUGGAUAGACCUCAGGUACAGCAUAAGAUGUAAUGGAGGAACAGGUUGGUGAGGAACAGGUUGGUGAGAAUCAAACAGACUACUAUAUGUAAUGAAAAAAAUCUGUCUAUAUUCUGAAAAAGAGUCUUUUAUUGAUUUUGCUGUUUUUUCAAAAGUGUAAUAUCAAUUCCCUUAGUAAUUAUUUUACUUU